GACGAACGCUGGCGGCGUGCCUAAUACAUGCAAGUAGAACGCUGAAGAGAGGAGCUUACUCUUCUUGGAUGAGUUGCGAACGGGUGAGUAACGCGUAGGUAACCUGCCUUGUAGCGGGGGAUAACUAUUGGAAACGAUAGCUAAUACCGCAUAACAAUGGAUGACACAUGUCAUUUAUUUGAAAGGGGCAAUUGCUCCACUACAAGAUGGACCUGCGUUGUAUUAGCUAGUAGGUGAGGUAAUGGCUCACCUAGGCGACGAUACAUAGCCGACCUGAGAGGGUGAUCGGCCACACUGGGACUGAGACACGGCCCAGACUCCUACGGGAGGCAGCAGUAGGGAAUCUUCGGCAAUGGGGGCAACCCUGACCGAGCAACGCCGCGUGAGUGAAGAAGGUUUUCGGAUCGUAAAGCUCUGUUGUAAGUCAAGAACGGGUGUGAGAGUGGAAAGUUCACACUGUGACGGUAGCUUACCAGAAAGGGACGGCCAACUACGUG
rnacentral:rRNA from 1 species